GUUUCGCUGGGCCUGGGGAGGGGCUCGGGGGUUGGUGGCUGUCCCACUCCGCCCCCACUCAUUUUCCUGAGAGAUCUCUCACUCCGACUUGGCCUCGGGCCCUGGGUGUGCACUGGGAAGCUGUGCAGUAUCAGAGGGACAGAAUGACCUUCCGGCCCUGAGUCCCUGUUUCCGAAUGGUAUAAUGAAGGAAGAGGAGCACAGUACCUGAUUGAGCAAGGCUGCCUGUGAGCGGUGUUCUGAUCCACCUCCUCUCCGGAGGCCCUGAGGAGGAUUGGAUAGUGUCUGCAUUUUAAGUACCUCGCAGCAAUCCUAGUUCCUAUCAUGGGACAUAUAUUUAGCAAAACAUCCAAUCCAUUCUGCGAUUUGGACGUGGCCCUACCAGAAACUAACAUAAUGCUCUAUGUCAAUUAUCUCAAUUAAAAAAAUUUGACAUGGCCCUGAAAAUCCCUUUUAUAGCAGAGAGGGGGAAAUAGUACCGGCAGAACAUAAGAUGGUGAGGAUGCCUCACCCUAUAUGACACAUGAGACAAUGCUCUGCUACACCUCCACCCCACCAUUUGCACGUCUGAAUCUGGCAAAGAGCAUAGAGAGAUAUGCAGGCCUCCUCUUCCGCAAUCAAAAAAGAGUGCCACGUGGAGGCAGAGACAGAAUAGGUUGUAGGGAGAGGAAGGGGACAGUUUCCAUAGCAACUAGCAAGAUCCUCAGUAUAACUGGUCAGCGGCAGUUAACUAUAAGCUCUGCUUUCAUCAAGUCUGACAAAGAGGUUAGACAAUAGCUCUGAUUGGUAUGGGGAAGGACUACACACUAAUGAGAAUGGUAGGAGCAGAAAUUCAGAGCGGUGAUCGCAGACUUGCUAGAAUUGGCAUUUAUUAAUUAGACCUGCAAAUAUAGACUGUAAUAGUACUGAAAGAUAACUAUAGAGUCUUGGCAUCUAUGCUGAAGAAUUUUACAACUGAAGGCAGAAAACACCAAUGCACAUAUGUGCAAGGCAUAGAAAGGUGAAUAAAAAUGUUAAAGAAAUACGUUUAUAUAUGAAUUGCAAAGUGUAUAAAACUCUAUUUUGUGUUUAGGAAUAGUGUGCUGUGGCAGGAGCAUUCAAAGGCCUAUCUGCUUGGAAACAUGAUAUACAUGAUAGUGAGACAUUUGCAGUCGUGUGUUAGUGGUUAUUAAACCCACUGUAGUGUUUCAUUUAACUGUUUACACACUGAACUGACCAGGUAUGAUCCUUUGGGAACUCUCCUUUUCUCUAGUUUCUUCCACACACUUUGUCAUACAGCAUUGACAGACAAAGUGGUUACAACCAAUGCUUUCCAAACCAUUUGUGGUGAAGGACCCUUGAACUGUAGAAGGGGUCUUUAAGGAUCCAUCACUGAAAAAGGAGGUUAGAGGAGAUGUAAAAGGAAGAUACCAUUGUAGGUUCUUUCCUUGGGUGUGCACUAGAGUGGGCACAAGUCAGAAGAUAGUAUGAAUCUCAACUGGUUUGAAAGGUAGUUGUAGCCUUGGCUAAGUUUAAGCCAGUUAAGAGAUUCUCAACCCCUAGGCCUUCAUCAGUUCAAAAUACAUAGUGAUAAGUACCCAAAAGGUAAAUCAUACACAUGCUUAACAAAGUGAAGGGGCAUCUCUAAAUUUUUUGUGAAAAUAAUUUCAUUUUGGUAUUUAAAUUAUUGAAGUUGUCCUCAUGAGAGAAAUCAGAAUUUUAUUGGAGUUAAUUACUCUUACCUUGAAUUAUUUAUGUGUGGCAGAGGAAGGUACCACAGUCCUGUCAAUGCUUAAGAUCUCCAUAGGACUUAAAGCUAGCUCUGAUAAUUCAUAAAGAAAAAAUACUGGCUCCUUCCUGCUAGCCUGAUGAAUGUCUUUAGUUUUUCUGGGGGACUGAGCUCAUUUGGCAGAAUUCCAGCCUGCUCUGCUGAAGCGCAUGGUCUUAUCAAGCAAAAUAUCCAAGAUGAGAUGUAUGCAGCUCACAUUCCCACCCCGUAUUCAGUUCUGCCUAUAAAAUGUUCCUUACGCAGGGAGAGUUGUGUUGGAUUACAGGAUCACUGUGUCAGAAGCUUAUCCUUGGCUUUUGGGGAAAAUAGUAUGAUCAUAAUGUAUACCAGCAACCACAGGGUCACCUCUUAGCACAAACACUGGUAUUUUUGCAAAGGCACUGAGCAACAUAACCUUUAACAAGGCACUGAGUAAAAUAAUCUCUAAAAAGUUUGAGAUGGGGAGAAGUCUGCAUUUAUUACUAUGUCGGGCACACAGAGGAGUCCAACAGUAAACAUUUGUUGGAUAAUUUCCCUAGUUAUUCUUUGUCCAUUAAGUAACGGGAAGAUCAAAGGCACUGGGUUUACCCUCCCUGUACAGAGCAUUACAAAGGACAAGGAGGAAAUCCCCUUUUUUCCUCCCUCACUCUCCACACUCUUUUAUUUAUUUAUUUGUUUGGGCCACACCUACAGCAUAUGGAAGUUCCCAGGCUAGGGAUCAAAUCAGAGCUACAGCUGCCAGCCCAUACCACAGCCACAGCAAUGCGGGAUCCGAGCCACAUCUGUGACCUACACCACAGCUCACAGCAACGCCUGAUCCUCAGCCCAUUGAGUGAGGCAAGGGAUUGAACCUGCAUCCUCAUGGAUACUAGUCGGAUUCGUUUCUGCUGUGUCACAACAGGAACUCCUGCCACGCUCUUCAUUUUAAGAAAGUGAUUUGAGUCCCCAAAGUGAAAAAGAGCCAUUUAUAGGUACUAUUUUCUCCUGUUCAUUCCAUUAGCCUCCGAGAUGGAGGUUAGUGUUUGGCCUCCGAUACUACCUUUUCCUUUAGUCUUAACAAAGCUACCCCUUACUGUAAGGAUCUCUAAGAAUUUUCUUGUCAUAGUUAAGAGGAUGGUGGUAAAAAGAAUCUAAAUACAUAACUUACUUUUGGGGCUGUGCCUGUGUAUGCAUCUUUUGUUUCCAAGAUAUUCAUAGAAUAGAGUUACUUUUCUUCAAGGAAUACUUGAUUUGCAGAAAUAUUGUUCCCUCUAUAGUUAUGCAAAGUCACAAAUACUUUUUCUCUGUCUUCUCAUCAGUUCUUUCUUGAACAUCCUUCAUCAUAUGCCCCAACUUCCCUUUCUAACAAUACUUCCUGCAAAUUCCUUGCAUUAACCUCUUAUGCAGUCAGUCUGAGCCACUUGCCUUUCCCUUAGUCCUUCUGGUACUUCCUGUUCAGGUGUCUCUUUUUCCUUGAAUGCAUUGUUAUCCUUAAUUCUCAUCUAGGGAUUUAUUUACAUCUACCUUUAUGAUUUACUUUAUUUGUGGAAAGUAAGAUUCCAUCUCAUUCUACAAAGAAUUUAAGAAGUAUGGGCUAACUCAAACACAGCUGCUUCUCUGAAACUGACUUCCCCUCUUGCUGACUGUGUGAACUUAGGCAAGUCAUUUGUCCUCUCUAUGCUUUAAUUCUCUAGUAAAAUUAUAAUAGGAGUUCCCAUCGUGGCUCAGUGGUGAUGAAUCCGACUGGUAUCCAUGAGUACGUGGGUUUGAUCCCUGGCCUCAUUCAGUGGGUUAAGGAUCCAGCGUUGCAGUGAGCUGUGGUGUAGGUCACAGAUGCAUCUCGGAUCCCAGUGUUGCUGUGGCUGUGGUGUAGACCUGCAGCUACAGUUCUGAUUCAUCCCCUAGGCUGGAAACUUCCAUAUGCAGUGGUGUGCCCCUAAAAAGACGAAAAAAAAUAUUAAUAAUAGCACUCCACCUUAUGGUUUUUUGCAAAUUAAGUUGGGGAGUUCUCACUCUGGUGCAAUGGGAUAAGUGGUGCCUCUGGUAUGCACUGUGGGUUAAGGAUCC
rnacentral:lncRNA from 1 species